AAACGCCCUGUGCGGACCCGCAUGCAGGGUGUUGUGGGGAGGGCUGGCUAGAUACCAGUCCUUACCCGAU
rfam:Chromatiales bacterium (ex Bugula neritina AB1) isolate AB1-2 AB833_contig000091, whole genome shotgun sequence.